rnacentral:rRNA from 1 species
UACGUAGGUGGCAAGCGUUGUCCGGAUUUAUUGGGCGUAAAGCGAGCGCAGGCGGUCUUUUAAGUCUGAUGUGAAAUCCCCGGGCUCAACCUGGGAACUGCAUCUGAUACUGGCAAGCUUGAGUCUCGUAGAGGGGGGUAGAAUUCCAGGUGUAGCGGUGAAAUGCGUAGAGAUCUGGAGGAAUACCGGUGGCGAAGGCGGCCCCCUGGACGAAGACUGACGCUCAGGUGCGAAAGCGUGGGGAGCAAACAGGAUUAGAUACCCUGGUAGUCCACGCCGUAAACGAUGUCGAUUUGGAGGUUGUGCCCUUGAGGCGUGGCUUCCGGAGCUAACGCGUUAAAUCGACCGCCUGGGGAGUACGGCCGCAAGGUUAAA